rnacentral:rRNA from 1 species
UACGUAGGUGACUAGCGUUGUCCGGAUUUACUGGGCGUAAAGAGCGCGCAGGCGGUCGUUCAAGUCGAGUGUGAAAGCCCCCGGCUCAACUGGGGAGGGUCAUUCGAUACUGAUCGACUCGAAGGCAGGAGAGGGAAGCGGAAUUCCCGGUGUAGUGGUGAAAUGCGUAGAUAUCGGGAGGAACACCAGUGGCGAAGGCGGCUUCCUGGCCUGUUCUUGACGCUGAGGCGCGAAAGCUAGGGGGAG